GGUUAACAAAAUCCGUUAAUCAUCUCAAGGCCCAAAGCACCAAAGUCGAGCAUUUAUCCGUGCUACAAUACACACAUUCCAUAAUAAAUUAAAAAAACAGACACACACAUAAAAUUCAUGUUAUUUAUAAAAAGAAAACGAAAAUUUAAGCAAUUUAAGCCCCUAAUGCAUUCUUAAUAACAUGAUAAAACUCCAUAUAAAAAGAAAGCAAUCUUUGCCACAAAUAAAGACUAGGUGAACAACAAUAGUAUGCUCAAAUUUUUAGAUUAAAACUAAAAAAUCCUGACAAACAAAAACUUUUUCCAUUGCCAUCUUGCAAUGAUCCCUCAAUGGUUGGCCUUAGCAACUCUUUCAAUCUCAUCCUUUUUCUUGAUAGCAUAACUGUUGGAAGAGCCCUUUGCAGCAUUGAUAAGCUCGUCUGCCAAACAUUCUGCAAUAGUCUUGAUGUUUCUGAAAGCAGCUUCACGAGCACCAGUGGUAAGGAGGUAGAUGGCCUGGUUAACACGCCUCAGAGUAGAGAUAUCCAUAGCCUGACGCCUGACAACACUAGCAGAACCAAUUCGAGUGGCAUCUUCCCGGGGCCCAAUGUAGUAAUACAAAAUAGAUAGAAACAAAGAAAAAAUUGAGUCAAAUAGAUAAAAAGUUAACAAACAUAAAAUCCAAAGGUUCACAAAAACAGGGACAUCAUGUAAUGAAAUUUAAAAAUCCAAAUUAACCCCAACAUCUGAUUAGACACCAGCAUAAAACCCAAUAAUGCACCUGUUAAUCACGGCAUCCACAAUAACUUGGAUUGGGUUUUGAUC
rnacentral:misc_RNA from 1 species